rnacentral:rRNA from 1 species
CCUACGGGGGGCUGCAGUGAGGAAUCUUGCGCAAUGGGCGAAAGCCUGACGCAGCGACGCCGCGUGACUGAUGAAGUCUUUCGGGAUGUAAAGGUCUUUUGUGGGGGACGAAGGAAGUGACGGUACCCCACGAAUAAGCCCCGGCUAACUACGUGCCAGCAGCCGCGGUAAUACGUAGGGGGCGAGCGUUGUCCGAAUUCACUGGGCGUAAAGCGCGCGUAGGCGGACGCUUAAGUUGUGGGUGAAAUCCCGAGGCUCAACCUCGGAGCUGCCUGCAAAACUGGGUGUCUGGAGGUAUGGAGAGGGAAGUGGAAUUCCAGGUGUAGCGGUGAAAUGCGUAGAUAUCUGGAGGAACACCCGUGGCGAAGGCGGCUUCCUGGCCAUAUCCUGACGCUGAGGUGCGAAAGCUAGGGGAGCGAACGGGAUUAGAUACCCCGGUAGUC